GUAGUUUGAUCAUGGCUCAGAACGAACGCUGGCGGCAGGCUUAACACAUGCAAGUUGAACGGGAUUGUUAAGUAGCUUGCUAUUUAACAAGAGAGUAGCGCACUGGUGAGUAACACGUGGGAACGUACCUUUUGGUGGGGGACAACAGUCUGGAAACGGAUGCUAAUACCGCAUAAGACCUGAGGGUGAAAGAUUUUAUCGCC
rnacentral:rRNA from 1 species